rnacentral:lncRNA from 1 species
AUAUUGAAGCAAAACAUUUGCGUUUGUUUUUAAAGCAGAAUCAUCCUGAAUUUAUUAUCUGGUCCAGAGAUUGCCUUCUUGUUUGCUUUUUAAAAUUCGGCUAAGGCCUCUUUUCUGGCUUGAGAAACGGCUUGGGUUUUAGGUUAAAGGCAGUUUGGUUUUCGGGGAGGGUGGGGUCAGCCUAGCUCAGGGCGGCCCAGUGGGAUUCUGUUUCCUGCAACAUAUCCACGUCUUGAAAAUAUCUGGUAAAUACCGAAAGCAAAUUUCAACGAGCUGGUAAUUCCUGCGGAAACAGAAUUUCAGACUGUUUACUGAGAAGACACCCAGGGGUCUUGAGAUGGGAUCUUGACCAUACAACCAUUUUCCCACACAGGUGCCCAGCCUGCAGUUCCAGAGAUGUGUGUGAAGGAGGAUUUAAACGAGUUCACAUUUAUGGGAGAACCCCUCCAAAACGAUCACUGAAGAUCUUAUGCUUACUCAAGGCUUUGGCAUUGCAAUGCCCCUAAGACCUUCGACUCUAGACCCUACCACAGGUAACGGGAAGGAAACCCUGAACUGAGGUUGAACUUCUACUACCUGGCAGAGUGGAAGCUCAACACUGAAAUUAAAUUUGGUCAUAGACACAAAUAUUACUUGUGCACUUGAGUUUAUGGACUGAGAGAUUUAUCUCUCAGAGAUUUGAACUUUAUUUAGCAGAAAAUAGGGA